CAUUCUAGGCAAUCGCUGUACUCUUCGAUGAGUGCAGAGGAAAGUCCAUGCUCGCACAGCCUGGGAUGGCUGUAGUGUUCGUGCCUGACGAAUGCAUAAGUCAGGGCAUCUCUUUUAAGGGAUGACGGCGGAGAAGUAACCUACGUCGUCAAGAUAUGGUUACGGUAUCCUUAAUGUGCCACAGUGACGUAGUUUUUCCGGAAACGGAAAAAGUGGAACGGGGUAAACCCCUCGAGCGAGAAACCCAAAAUAAGGUAGGGGCGCCUUUCUGAAGGAACCAAACGGAAAGAAAGGGCAGAUUCGUCUGCAGAUAGAUGAUUGCCGCCGGAGUGCGAGGUUAAGAGCCGUUUUAGCACGAAGGAACAGAACAUGGCUUACAUGA
rnacentral:RNase_P_RNA from 1 species